UACGUAGGGGGCUAGCGUUGUCCGGAAUCAUUGGGCGUAAAGCGCGCGUAGGCGGUCAGGAAAGUCCGGUGUGAAAGUCAUAGGCUCAACCUAUGGAUGCCGCUGGAAACUGCCUGACUUGAGUCCGGAAGGGGCGAGUGGAAUUCCUGGUGUAGCGGUGAAAUGCGCAGAUAUCAGGAAGAACACCCGUGGCGAAGGCGGCUCUCUGGGACGGUACUGACGCUGAGACGCGAAAGCGUGGGGAGCGAACAGG
rnacentral:rRNA from 1 species